UCCACGCCGUAAACGAUGUCGAUUUGGAGGUUGUGCCCUUGAGGCGUGGCUUCCGGAGCUAACGCGUUAAAUCGACCGCCUGGGGAGUACGGCCGCAAGGUUAAAACUCAAAUGAAUUGACGGGGGCCCGCACAAGCGGUGGAGCAUGUGGUUUAAUUCGAUGCAACGCGAAGAACCUUACCUGGUCUUGACAUCCACAGAAAGAGGGUGCCUUCGGGAACUGUGAGACAGGUGCUGCAUGGCUGUCGUCAGCUCGUGUUGUGAAAUGUUGGGUUAAGUCCCGCAACGAGCGCAACCCUUAUCCUUUGUUGCCAGCGGUUAGGCCGGGAACUCAAAGGAGACUGCCAGUGAUAAACUGGAGGAAGGUGGGGAUGACGUCAAGUCAUCAUGGCCCUUACGACCAGGGCUACACACGUGCUACAAUGGCGCAUACAAAGAGAAGCGACCUCGCGAGAGCAAGCGGACCUCAUAAAGUGCGUCGUAGUCCGGAUUGGAGUCUGCAACUCGACUCCAUGAAGUCGGAAUCGCUAGUAAUCGUAGAUCAGAAUGCUACGGUGAAUACGUUCCCGGGCCUUGUACACACCGCCCGUCACACCAUGGGAG
rnacentral:rRNA from 1 species